rnacentral:rRNA from 1 species
UGGGCACUGUCUCAACGAGAGACUCGGUGAAAUCAUAGUACCUGUGAAGAUGCAGGUUACCCGCGACAGGACGGAAAGACCCCGUGGAGCUUUACUGUAGCCUGAUAUUGAAAUUCGGCACAGCUUGUACAGGAUAGGUAGGAGCCUUUGAAACGUGAGCGCUAGCUUACGUGGAGGCGCUGGUGGGAUACUACCCUAGCUGUGUUGGCUUUCUAACCCGCACCACUUAUCGUGGUGGGAGACAGUGUCAGGCGGGCAGUUUGACUGGGGCGGUCGCCUCCUAAAAGGUAACGGAGGCGCUCAAAGGUUCCCUCAGAAUGGUUGGAAAUCAUUCAUAGAGUGUAAAGGCAUAAGGGAGCUUGACUGCGAGACCUACAAGUCGAGCAGGGUCGAAAGACGGACUUAGUGAUCCGGUGGUUCCGCAUGGAAGGGCCAUCGCUCAACGGAUAAAAGCUACCCCGGGGAUAACAGGCUUAUCUCCCCCAAGAGUUCACAUCGACGGGGAGGUUUGGCACCUCGAUGUCGGCUCAUCGCAUCCUGGGGCUGUAGUCGGUCCCAAGGGUUGGGCUGUUCGCCCAUUAAAGCGGUACGCGAGCUGGGUUCAGAACGUCGUGAGACAGUUCGGUCCCUAUCCGUCGUGGGCGUAGGAAAUUUGAGAGGAGCUGUCCUUAGUACGAGAGGACCGGGAUGGACAUACCUCUGGUGUACCAGUUGUCGUGCCAACGGCAUAGCUGGGUAGCUAUGUGUGGACGGGAUAAGUGCUGAAAGCAUCUAAGCAUGAAGCCCCCCUCAAGAUGAGAUUUCCCAACUUCGGUUAUAAGAUCCCUCAAAGAUGAUGAGGUUAAUAGGUUCGAGGUGGAAGCAUGGUGACAUGUGGAGCUGACGAAUACUAAUCGAUCGAAGACUUAAUCAA